UACGUAGGGUGCAAGCGUUAAUCGGAAUUACUGGGCGUAAAGCGUGCGCAGGCGGUCGUGCAAGACAGAUGUGAAAUCCCCGGGCUCAACCUGGGAACUGCAUUUGUGACUGCACGGCUGGAGUGCGGCAGAGGGGGGAUGGAAUUCCGCGUGUAGCAGUGAAAUGCGUAGAUAUGCGGAGGAACACCGAUGGCGAAGGCAAUCCCCUGGGCCUGCACUGACGCUCAUGCACGAAAGCGUGGGGAGCAAACAGG
rnacentral:rRNA from 1 species